rnacentral:snRNA from 1 species
GUUCCUUCCGAGACAUCCGAUAAAAUUAGAAUGAUAUAAAAAAAAUAGCAAAGUCUUUGUGGAAGAAUGACACGCACAAAUCGAGAAAUGGACUAUAAAUAU